UGUCGUCUGAACUUGGUGACAAAUUAUUUUGAGUUUUGAGUUGUGAGCUUCUGACCACGUGAAAUACUGGAAUCGUUUUCCUGAUAGCUUUUCAGCCACUAUUAUUUAAUUUGUCUUAUCCUUUUGCUGCCAAAACUAUUGUUGCUAAUUAGACAUAACCAGUUAAACACAAAAUUUGGCCAUUUUACCAAACUUCCUUCGGCCAAGUGAUGAAGUGAGAACAGGCCCAUUCUUUCACAUUUAACACGACAUGUCCAUGGAUAUUGGAUACUUAGUGUAGUUGUUAUGCCCUGUUUUCCACUCAUCAAAGUCGUCGUUUGUUUAAUGCAUCAUCCAGUUGAUACAGGCAGUUUCUAUUGAGCUUGGUAGAUCACUAACCCCAGUGUCAACAUGUAUUGUCAACAUAUUUUUCAACAACUAAUACAUCGACAGACAAGGAAAACUAUGGAAAACAUCCUUUAGCCCAUGGGCAAUCUUCAGGUUUAUUGCAGCAGCUUUAGAAUGCUUUUGGAACUUUUCAGCAACUUUUGUCACGUACAGAAACAAUUUUAAAGCAACGUGUCAAAGAAGUUUCCUUUCUCCAGGUGGUGCUGCCGUGUCAUGAAGAUGCCUGUUCGAGAGGGUCUCUACUAUAUUGCAAGACAGAAAUUAUGUGAUGAAAACAGGAAAUCUGAAAUGGUGUCCAUGGGGAAUUGCAGUCAUUUUCCAGUUAAGAGAUGUGCUGAAAUGGAAAUUGUGC